UCAUGGAGGUAAUAAUCUGUGAGGGACAUAUGUAUCAUGGAGGUAAUACUCUGUGAGGGACAUAUGUAUCAUGGAGGUAAUACUCUGUGAGGGACAUAUGUAUCAUGGAGGUAAUACUCUGUGAGGGACAUAUGUAUGUAUCAUGGAGGUAAUAAUCUGUGAGGGACAUAUGUAUCAUGGAGGUAAUACUCUGUGAGGGACAUAUGUAUCAUGGAGGUAAUACUCUGUGAGGGACAUAUGUAUCAUGGAGGUAAUAAUCUGUGAGGGACAUAUGUAUCAUGGAGGUAAAAAUCUGUGAGGGAUUUACGGUGCAUUCGGAAAGUAUUCAGACCCCUCAACCUUUUCCACAUUUUGUUACAUUACAGCUUUAUUCUAAAAUGGAUUAAAUAGUUUAUUUCCCUCAUCAAUCAACACACAAUUCCCUAUAAUGACAAAGCAAAAACAGGUUUUUAGAUAUUUUUUUUUUUUGCAAAUGUAUAAUAAUGUAUGAAGAAAAAUAACUGUCAUUUACACAAGUAUUCAGACCCUUUACUCAGUACUUUGUUGACGCACCUUUGGCAGUGAUUACAGCCUCAUAUCUUCUUGGGUAUGACGCUACAAGCUUGGUACACCUGUAUUUGGGGAGUUUCUCCCAUUCUUCUCUGCACAUUCUCUCAAGCUCUGUCAGGUUGAAUGGGGAGCGUCUCUGUACAACUAUUUUCAGGUCUCCAGAGAUGUUAGAUUGGGUUCACGUCUGGGCCACUCAAGGACAUUCAGAGACUUGACCCGAAGCCACUCCUGCGUUGUCUUGGUUGUGUGCUUAGGGUCGUUGUCCUGUUGGAAGGUGAACCUUCGCCCCCAGUCUGAGGUCCUUAGUGCUCUGAAGCAGGUUUUCAUCAAGGAUCCCUCGGUACUUUGCUCCGUUCAUCUUUCUCUCGAUCCUAACUAGUCUCCCAGUCCCUGCUGCUGAAAAACAUCCCCACAGCAUGAUGCUGCCAACACCAUGCUUCACUGUAGGGAUGGUGUUGGCCAGGUGAUGAAUGGUGCCUAGAUUCCUCCAGGCGUGAUGCUUGGCCUUCGGGCCAAAGAGUUCAAUCUUCAUUCCAUCAGACCAGAUAAUCUUGUUUCUCAUGAUCUGAGAGUCAUUUAGGGACUUUUUUUUAGCAAACUACAAGCGGGCUGUCAUGUGCCUUUUACUGAGGAGUGGCUUCCGUCUGCCAACUACCAUUAAGGCCUGAUUGGUGGAGUGCUGCAGAGAUGGUUGUCCUUCCGGAAAGUGUGGUAGAAAAUCGGUUCAAAUAUGACACAAUCAAGAACUUUGAAUUCAAUUAUAGACUUUUAAUACAAGAGUAUAGCAAGCCGGAGUGCUCCGCGGAACACACACCUUUUCCAGAGCCCUGGCUCCAGUAUUUAUCCACAUAUUGCAUAUGAGCCCAUCCCACAUGCAAAUUAAGUUACAUUCCAAUCCGUGCAUCCUGCUUGUUCAGCUCAAUAACGCUCAUACCUGCUUUCCAUCAGAUUAUAAUGAUGACAAGACCUUUGCUUUGUUCCUGCACUUAGCUAAAUGCAUUCUUUUGUUUGUGUAUUAUCUAAGAUCAGCAGACUAUGUGUCUCCUCAGUUUCUAGCGUGUCCAGCUAUACUAAAAAUACUAUACAUUCCUCUAUUUUACAGCCCUAUGCUUUGGCUCUGCACUUAGCUCAAUAUGUUACUAUGUAUGUGUGUCUUUAUCUCAGAGCAACAGACUAUGUGUCUUCUCUGUCAUUCCUUCUGCAUCUCUACGUCCUAAAAAUAUGCAAACUAUG